AAUUAAUACGAAGUGGUGUUUUGUGGUUAAUGAUCGCAUUAAGUUAGUCGGAAGACAUUCGCGAGUGUUAUUAUAUCGGAGUAUUCAAUAAACAAAGUGUAUCUGCCUGUUUUCGCUUCGUGCCGGGAAGCCGCUUCAUAACUCGAAAGUUUAUGCGAAGUUUUGAGUUAAUUCGUUUGGGGUUCGGAGUAGGAGUCUACUCCGAGGGUGGUGGCUUAGGUCUCAUCAUCAUCAUCACCUUUCAUCAUUUCAUUAAUCAUCAAGAAAAAAAAUACGUAAGACAUGGCUGUAUGGGCAUAGUUCCCUUUGCCUUACCCUUCGAGGAAAACCAAAACAAAAAAAAAUGGUGGAGUUCUAUUGUUAUUGAUGUAUUGAUAUUUUCCUGUGCUACUUUUUUCCUACCUAGGUACUUUGUUCGAAUUUGUAACUUACAAGUUCAUCGAGUCGAGCCCUACUUCCCCGUUUUUGCGUGGAUAUUCAACUGGUAAAACUUCCAGAACCAUUAUGUGUUUUGGAUAAAGCCGAAAUGAUAAAAAGUUUGUGGAUAAUGUGUUAGAUGCUGAUCGACUUUGUGUGUAACUCAUACUAAGAGAUGCAAGCAACAAUAACAAGUCUCCUGAUGAAUGUUCCAGUCCAAGUGUUGGAAGCAAUGUGUCUGUAUAAGUUGUGGAAUAUCUUUGGGAAGGCAUACAAGAAGAGAAAAUCACAGGCCAUAAGCUUAUGGAAAGAAAUGAAGAGUGACAUUAUAUAAAAAAACAAAAAUAUCUCCGAGACAGGUAAUAGGGUGAAUAUCAAAAUGUGCCAAGUUUGGUGGCGAACUUUCAUAUUCACCCAAUAAAGUAUUAAGGAUUAUAAUUUACAUUGUGUAAGAGCUAUUUAAAAGGUUUUAUGUGUUCCAAUCAGUGUUCCCCAAAAACACAAUAGAUGGCAUUGUUAAGUUUUUUCUUCGUUUAAACUUCUAACUUCAUGGAUAAUAGACAUAUGCAUCUUUUAUCUUUGUUUUUGGGUAUAAAUGAUGAUGGUAGGUGUAUUAUGAUGAUACAACUUCCACCUAUUAUUAUUCUGAUCAAAAUAAAGAGAAGCAAUAUAGGUAGCUAUAUCAUUCUAUACAUAAUGUGAUCUGAAUAUCAAGAAACAAUUAGUUUUAUAUUAUAUGAUGAUGAUGAUUCCAUCAUUUCAUUACAAAUAGGUAAUUAUCACGUUAAAAGUGAACAACGCCAUCUAUCAUGUGUUUGGGGAAUGUCAAUUAGAAAGACCCUCAUUGUUAUAAGGCAACUUAAGUUGGCAUAUUUUAAUUUCAUCCCUAUAGAUUUAAUAAUAUUGUUAUAAUCAAGCAUAUUGUGUAAAACAUAUUAUUGUACAUGGGACAUCAAAACUACAAUUAUUUCUUUAAGAACAUUCAUAUUUGCCUUCAGAUUCCUGAUGGAUGUAUGUGUUGUUUGCAGGAUGAGCUCACCUCAAAAGUAUGAACAUAAGAGCUGUGUUAAGUGUGCCGUUCCGUUGCAUUGUAUGUAGUUAGUAGCUAUUUAGGUUCAUUAAUGUUGUUAAACUAUGAGCUUAAAUCACUUUAUAAUUUGUUAAUAAUAUCAUAUCAUUAAAUAGUUAAAUAAGCUAGUUAGGCACAUAACCCAUAUAUUUUAAUGUUAUUGUCAAGUUUAUUCUAUACCUACUUACUAAUAUGUUACCAUAUUAAAUUCCCUGACAUGAUUUAUGUAAUGACUAUGUACUAACAUCAGUAAGUAGUAACUGGGACCAGCAGCUUAACAUGCCAUUUGAAGCAUAGAUUAUCUUACUUCAGGCAAUAGGUUGAUCAGCCAGCCAUCUCCAAACCAAACUGGGGAUCACAAAGUAAUUUUUGUGGAUUUGAACCUAGGACCUCCAGAUGUGUUGACUCAACAGUCAGCUACUGGACCAUGGAGGCCAAGAGUACUUGGUUAAGUUGCUGUUUUAUUUCAACUAUUUAAUUAAAUGUAGAAAUAUUUUGUGUGGUAGCACCUACUUAUGAUAUUUUAAAUAUAUAAUAAAACAACUUA